rnacentral:tRNA from 1 species
GGUCCGGUAGUUCAGUUGGUUAGAAUGCCUGCCUGUCACGCAGGANGUUCGAGUCCCGUCCGGACCG